rnacentral:rRNA from 1 species
GACGUAGGAGGCGAGCGUUGUCCGGAUUCAUUGGGCGUAAAGAGCGCGCAGGCGGCUUGGUAAGUCGGAUGUGAAAUCCCGAGGCUCAACCUCGGGUCUGCAUCCGAUACUGCCCGGCUAGAGGUAGGUAGGGGAGAUCGGAAUUCCUGGUGUAGCGGCGAAAUGCGCAGAUAUCAGGAGGAACACCGGUGGCGAAGGCAGCCCCCUGGGCUGAGAUUGACGCUCAGGCACGAAAGCGUGGGGAGCAAACAGG